AUUAGGUUUUUUUUUUUUUUUUUAAGUUCCUUAUUAUUCCCUUAAUUCCUUCUGUCAGGAGCAAAAUUUGUGAACUCUUGAAAAGACAGGACUGUGUCUUACUUAGACUUAGCUCUCAGCACACAUCUGACAUAAUACGUUUUUGUUUAAUUGAACUAACAAUAUUUAAUUCCAAAAGGUGGACAUUAACACAUGUAUGGUGAGAGAAUUGUCAAUGCACAGGGUGGUGAGAGGAUUGUCAAUGCACAGGGUGAAAGGAAAUGAAGAUAUUAUUUUUAUUUAAAAGAAGUAAUAGUUGCUCUGUGAAGAAUCCCUUAGCGAUACCAUGCUCUGUAAGAUGGUUGGAAAAGCCCUGCUUAGCUGGGCACAUCUAGUCAUUGUACUCUGACCCAUUUAACAAGCCAUGUCAGAAACUUGUUUUUCACUUUCCUUUUGAAUGUCUUCAUCUACGAAAAUGUGUAAGUGGGUUUCCCCUCCCUGGGUUAGCACUAAAUGGGAUUGGUAUGGGGCUAUAAUAUAACAAUUUGCAAAUGUAGAAUAGAUUCCGCUGCUUUAGGAACUUAAGUUAAUGUCAAAAUGUCAGAUGGGCACCAGUCAUGAUCAGCAGACUUGUACUAUCACAGAAAGUCCCAGGGAAAAAGAAGGCCUUUGCUUACCUCAAUCUCCUCGGUAUAAUUUAAACCAGUGUUUUUCAACCUAACCUCAAAUGAGCGUAGUAAUCAUCUGAGGAUCUUGUUGAAAGGCAGGUUGUGAUUCAGUUGGUCUCAGUAGUAGUUCAGCAUUUCUGAUACUAAAGUUGCUGGCCCGGAGAACUCACCUUGAAUAGGAAUGAGCUAAACUCCCCAAAUCACAGUUUCUCAAAUUUGCUAAGACUCUAUUUAGGGGCCGUUGCUCAUAACAGUGGAUCAUCAAGCUACUUUGACCUAGGUGUACUUAGAAUUUCUGUUCUAGUACAAGGUUCAUGCCUUUGUUACACUGAACCUUAGUUCCUUGUAAAAGGAAGAGUUUGGGUUGAACGGAAUCGCUGGGGUACUUUUUAGUGAUCAGAUGUGUCACAAUUUCUUUUUUUAUUCAGGACAAAUAAGGGGAGGUGCAAAGUUUCACCAUUUCAGAUUGGCAUUAUCCUAAUUCUCUUCAGCUGGUUUGAGUCUUCUGCGUGGGUUCGGAUCAAUUCGAUUCGGUUGUAUUGGGAAAGAAGGAUAAUAGAAUUGAAUGAUCAGAAACAGGUUAAAAUACUUACAUAUGAAUGAAUAUAGAAGCUGACUGUACUGUGUAAUCAUCAAAACUUACAAUGUAAUUAAUGUUUCAUGAAUUUUAAAGAAAAUGUGGUCUCAUUGCCUUUUAUGUCCACAGUACAACAAAACCAGGUUAAGUAUUUUUAGGCAAAAUUGUGUUCACCUCUGUGUUAGAAUCCUGUUGGUGUUAUGUUAUGUUGUAAUAACAAUGUUUCUUUGAAUGGGAACCUUUUAAUGGCACUUUACUCUUUCCUGAGAUUGUACUUAAAAGGAAAAUGUAUUUGAAAGGUCAAAAAAAAAAAAAAAAAAGAACCUUGGGCUUUCUAGGGGAUUUUGACCCCUGGGUUUUUUUGUUUUGUUUUGUUUUUUUGCUCAUGAUUUCAUUCUCCAGGAUUUUAAAUCAUUCUAAGAAUCAAAGAAAUUGUGGGUCUUAAUAAAUACAUGUAAACAAAGAAUUAUUUACGUUUUUAUUCAUAUGCUGAAUACUUUCACUCAGCUGGCACUGACUUCAAAACAAAUGAUGGCAAACCCUCCUCAAAAAUAACAAUAACGUUGUAACACAGGAAACUUCACUGGACAAAGGAGGAAGCCACUUCCCUGACAGUGGCUCUAUUGAGUGAAAGAUACCUCAACGGUCAAUGAAAACCGUAUAAACAAAGCAAAAACGCGAAUGAAAAUAAUAUCAUCUUUACAUAGUGAGGAGUAUAAGAGCUAACGAAGCAAAACAAAACAAGGCACUUUGACCCGUACUUGGCACAUACAAAGUGCUUAAUAAGUAUUUUCUAUUGUGAUUAUUUCUGAUACUGUCAUCUUGAUGUUGAUAACAAGCAAGCCACAGUAGCAUUGAGCUCUCUAACUCUAUGGAUGUGGGGGUUAUUAUUACUAUUUCUUUUGAGUGGAACUUUUCACAAAUGAUGAUAUUAGUUGGUUAUGGAAAAUCUGGCACAGUAUAAAACCAUGCCAGCCGUCUUCUAGUCAAUCCCGACUCCUGGUGGCCUCACGGGUGUCAGAGCAAAUCCGUGCUGCACAGGGUUUCAGUGACUGGUUCUCAGAAGUAUGUCACCAGGCCUUUCUUCUGAGGCAGUUCAGGGUGGACUGGAACCACAGACUUUUUGGUUAGCACUCGAGUGCUUAGCUGUUUAAGUCAGGAACUCCGACACACUACAUAAGAGCAAAUAACGCCAAUAUUCACUGGAAGUAGAAUGUCCAACUCACAGACCAUAAUACUCAAUUUUCUGUGUUCAUAGACUGUCAUGUAGAGGAUCACAAUUUGUAAAGAAAUUGUCUUCUAAAUAGAAGAGCAGUGUACCUCAAUGGAGGAAAAAAAAAAUGGUCUACAACACAUACAAGCACAUGAAUGUAUAGAUUUCCAUAAGAAAUGCAUAUAUAUUUUUCUUCUAGUCAUAUUGAAAAAUUAACAUCACCCAGUAGUAUCACUGGUAGUGUUAUAGCGCUAAUGCUAAAGUUGGGUUUUCACAAAACAAAAAGAUAAACUUAGCAAAUAGUUGGGGUUGUGAAGUUAACCUACCAUUCCAAGUCACCUAAGCCAAACAUUCUUUAGGAUGGAUAGUUUUCACUUAUUAAGACUAUUAAGUCACUCUUUUAUGUUUGCUCUGUUUAAACAGGAAGAGGGAUGCAAAAGGAAAUUCUCCAUGGUUCUGUAGGUGCUUCCCCCCAGCUUUGGAGCCCUGGUGGCACAGUGGUUCAGCGUUUGGCUGCUAACCAAAAGGUCGUGGUUCUAAUCCACCAACUGCUCCUUGGAAACCCUAUGGGGCAGCUCUUCUCUUCCCUAUAGGGUCACUAUGAGUUGGAAUCGACUUGAGGGCAAGCUAUUAGUUUUUUUUUUUUUUUUGGUUUUCCCCCAUAGUUUAUUUAUGCAAAGUGAAGUUCAUGGUAUUUUCCCUGUAUAAAAAUACAUCAUGCUAGAGUUCAGGUUUGCUGAAGAUGCACAACAGCAGAGGAAUGACUUAGAAGAACUCUUUGAAUAAAACAGUAAAUCAGAUUAAAUAAUUAGUAAAUAAUUAAUCAAUAUCCCAAGAUAAUGAUUAAAUUUGCCAAGUCACCUAUCGGACCUCCUAAGUGCAAUUCCAGGCUCAGCCAUUUAUUAACUGUUUGAUUUUAAGAGUUUCCUAACUUCUCUGUGCCUCAGGUUAUCUACUCCUCUAUGUAAUAGGGUUACUAAUAGUAUCUCUUUCAUAAUGUGAUUGUAAGAAUAAACAUAAUCAUUUAUAUGAAGUGGUUAAAGUAGUACCUUAUAUACAGUAAUCAAUAAACCUCAGUGAUUAUUAGAGAAUGAAUAGCAUUUCCUGUAACUGUCAUUAAGAUCAUUACUCAUAUGUUGUAGUUUUAUGAGUUGCUUACCAUUUUGUCAAAGCUGAUUAUAUACUUACUAUAGCUCGAUUACAUAAUCUUGGUAAACACUUAGCAAGCGUAAGGCUUCUAGGUCAAGUUUAAGUCUCAAAUUCUACAGAGAGCUUGGUAAUCGGAAUCAAAUUCUGUCAGUUCAAAAGGGUCUGUGAAGAUCAGGAAUUUUAAGAUAACGUCCAGACGACUUGGAUAGUAAAUAAUUCUUAAACUUUCAGCUUAACAGAAUUCAGAUAGUAAGCACAUAACCAGCCCUCAGGUUUAUGUCUUUUGCAUACAUUCUGUACAUCUGGGAUGACGCUCACAGACUCUCCCCAAUGUCCCUUACCAAGUCUCACUCUGCCCAGCCGUGUCUCCGUGGGUAGUCUGUCCUAGUCUGCGCUCAUGCUUCAUGGUGGGUACAGCUUGCGGACGUACUCUCAGUGACUCAGAGGGAAGAAUGGGUCUAUUCUUUUGUCUGAUAACUUGUAGUGUCAAAUGUCUAUAUAUGAUUUAAUUUUUUUUUCUUGUAGUCUUUCGGGUCAUUUGCUAUUAAGCCACAUUUUGCUUUUGUGAAGUCCCUGCAAUGAUUGACAGUGGUGAGUUGCACUACCUUAGUUUUGUUUUUUGCUUUCUUUCUUUGGAUGAUCUCACUCAUUCUUUUUCUGUUGGAGAGGAAGCAACAUAAAUGUUUACUGUUCAUAUUUGUCUAGCAAGUAUUACAUGCUUCUCAUGUGGUCUCUGUAAGGUUGCUUGACACUGACAAUCGCUAAAUUUUGGGAAUACAGUUUGGGCGCCAUAAGUGGUGUUACUUGGGAAACCGACUGUGAGAGAGAGAUUUGUAAAAACAUGAGCAAGAGCUACUGAGGGGGGCGGGAGUGAAGUAGAGGGGCAGAGGGAAAAGCUGAGCUGUGACGCAGCGGCAACCAGGACCUCAGCCCAUCUCACAGGGAGCUCUGAAUCAGAGAUGGGGCUUCAGCUAUGUUCCCAGAUGAACCAAGGAUGCCAGAAUUUUGUAUCUCUGCACGGGCCAGUCACUGGAUCUUGGCUGCCCCCAGGGACUGGGUCUGAACUUGAGCCCAUCAGCUUCCAUCAGCUGAGGUCAAUCCUGUAGGAACUCAAGGGUAAGCUAUCAGCAGGCAACACUCCCUGGAACUAGGGAAUAAAGGCCUUUGUCCAGAAGGGGAAUCUGGGUAGCACACCACAGUAUCCACUACAGGAGGUAAAAAUUGGAUGACUCUGCAUUUGAAUUAGAUAUGGCAGUUAUGAAAAUUCUUCUCUGGAUUUUACUGGUCAGUUAAUCAAUCUCUAUUUGGCAAGCUACUUUGUUAAGCUGUUGCCUAAGCCCAAGUAUGAGAGAAAAUCUUACUCAUGAAGGCUGAGAUACCCACUUCACAAAUGAUGCCUUCUGAUUGGUAUUAAUAGUUUCUAAGAUAAGUUAAAUGAUCCAGUCAGGACACAGAGACCACACCAGUGAUUUGAACAGAGGCCAUUUCAUAUGCACAGCUGUUAACUACACAUAAAGCUGUUAACUGGAUAACAAAAAUAAAAAGAGAACUCUAUGGAAACUCUGGUGGCGUAGUGAGUGGUUAAGAGCUACAGCUGCUAACCAAAAGGUCGGGAGUUCGAACCCACUAGGUGCUCCUUGGAAAUCCUAGAGGGCGGUUCUAUUCUGUCCUAUAGGGUUGCUAUGAGUUGGAAUCCCUCGAGGACAGUGGGUUUCAACGGGUUAAGGUACCCUGAGAGUAGCUAUUGCAACAAGCAUCUUCCAUCACCAGGCCAGAGGAACAAAGGGAGGAAUUUGAAAUGAUUAACACUUAGGACUGCUGCGAGGGGCCUUGCAGAGCUGAAAUGCAGGUCUCUGUGGAGGUGCUGCUGCCUAGCUUUUGUUGGUAUCUCUCAGCUCAGUAAGGACCCUGUGGAGCCAGGACACAGGUUUCCCAGAAUUGGGCCCUGUGGGAAUGUGCCGGUGUCUUGGGGACAGGGGUGCAAUGAAGACGGUUGUGAAUGUGUGGGAAAUGCUCCCAACUGGCAUCAGCUGCUGCUAGAGGAAAGAACCGCUGCUGAGUAAAGAGGCACUGCUGGGAAGAUGGUCAGAGUCAGGUAACAGGAAGAAAACAGGAGGGUGCUUGUCUCUUCCUCCUCCAGCUUGCAGGCCCCAUCUAGCGCCCCCUACUGGCAAAACCAACUGUCAGCGGAAACAUGGCUUGCAGGGUCCCAACUCCAACACAGCAAAGCAGAGGAUAGAAGUGUGGGUGUGGAGCUGAGAGAAAAUAAGUUAAUAACAAGUACAAUAAAUAACAUUUUACCAAGAAGAAAAACCACCAAACAGUGAAAUGUUUUCCUUUAAUAAAAUCAUAAGGUUGAUACAUAGACACCUGUAACAAUUUAUUGACAAAAGUAUCAAUGAUGUUAGACUAGACCUCCCUGAUGUGAAAUAAAGAGAAUACUUUCUUAUGUUAACUGCAGUUUAUUAACAGUGUUUUAACUAGCAAGUAUACCAUCGGCUGAUGGAUUAGAGAGAAUGAAGAGGAAUUUAGCACUGAGAAUAAAAGAAUUGAUUUUAAAUAGAAAUAUUUUCUUUCAUUCACAGUAAUUAUGUGAUUUUAUAAGAUGCUUGUCUUGCAAAAUAAAUCUCCAACGUUACUUAAUAAAAAUUGCUAAAAUUUUGAAAUGUAGUUCUAAUAUGCAUGCAAAUCAGGCAAAGAAAGCCACAGACUCCGAUACUGUGGGGAAAUCCCAUGUAAGUGAGGGUCAGGACAGAUUGGAGGACGAACAAAUGGAGGGGAGUGUAGAAGCACCACACGUACAGCUAGAGUGUUCCAAACCAGAAGUUAAAACAGCGUGAUAUCGUAUUGCUGAAGAAGUCGAAUGCUGCAAAGCAAGUGUUCGGGGGCAAGUGGCUAAGAAAUCACUGAUGAACAGUUGUUUCAGGUGGCCGGUUGGGGCAGAAACUACAGCAGCAGAGUCUCCUGGUUUAAAGGGAACAAGUAAUAGAGAAAUGGCAAAGGCAAGUUGUCCAACACUCAUUUAGACAGGAGAAAAUUCGCCCAGCAAUGGGAGUAUAAGGAGCCCUGGGGGCACAAUGGUUAAUGGCUAUUAACCAGAAGGUGAGCAGUUCAGACCCCCCAGCUGCUGCAUAGGAAAAAAGACCUCUUGAUCUGCUCCCAUAAAAUUUAGGCCAAGAAAACCCUACAGGGGAGUUCUAUUCUGCUGUAUAGGGUUGCUAUGAGUUGGAAUUGACUCAACAGCACACAACAACAAUGGGAGUACAAAGCUGGUUCUAUGACAUCUUCCCUCGUUGAAGAUAAAAUCGGUCCUAAUUUAGAGGAAGCAAAGAAGAAGGCAAAGCAGACCAACCAGUUUCUGUUCAGUCAGUCCUGACUGAUGGCGACCUCAGGUGUGUCAGAACAGUCACAGGGUUUUUUCCAUUCCCCAAGCCCACUCUUCAGAUAAAGAUUAGACAGGACUAUAAAACAAAAAAUCAUACAUGUGACGAGUGUGCCUCUUAGUUCAAUCAGAUGCAUGAGACCAAAUGGGCGGUUCCUGUCCGGAGGCAGGAUGAGAAGGCAGGAAGGGACCGGAACUGGUUGAAUGGACACAGGGAACCUGGGGUGGAACGGGGGAGUGUGUUGUCAUAUUGCUGGGAUUGCAACCAAUGUCACAAAACAGUAUGUGUAUAAAUUUUCGUAUGAGAAAUUAACUUGGGCUAUAAACUUUCACCUCAAGCAAAAAAAAAACAAACAAACAAAAUCAAUGGCUGAUUUUUUGGAAGUAGAUCACCAGGAUUUUCUUUAAAGACACCUCUCUGAGUAGACUCAAACCUCCAACUUUUGGAUUAUCAGCUGAGUGUGUUAAUCGUUUGCACCACCCAGGGACUCCUAAAGUAGAAAAGAAGAGGAUAAAAUGAUGGGAUGGUGGUGAAAAAUGAAGGAAAAAAAAAAAGUCUCCGAGUAGGAAAGCAGGGAAUUACGAGUAGGGUAGCAGAGGUGGAGGAAUUGGGUUUAAAGAUGUGUAAAUACAGACAGACAAAGUUAAAUAACAGGUGAAGGAAAAGAGCAUCAACGUGGAAACCCAACUCCGUUUCACAGCCACCACAAUGUGUAAUCUAUAGCAUGUAUACUAGGUUUUCAUAGCAAGUAUCUUGAGACUCCUAAACUUAGAAUAAUGAUAUUGAUAAUUUCAUACUGAGGACCAAAUCUAAUUUGGGUGGCAUUUGAGAAGAAAGAUUUCUGUAAAGUUAAUAUGGCCUAACCUUAUUACAUUGUCUUUAUGGAAAUAAUAUUUGCAUUCAACCUUUCUGAAUUAUACAAGUCGUUUAGCUUCUUUACGGUUAGGUUAUUAACACAUCCCCCUAUCCCCCACCACUGACACAAAGUGACACUGACUUUUGUGGUUCUGUAAAAAGGAAAGCGCCCACACAUCUGCCCGCCUGGUCUUAGCGCCAUCGAUACCAUUGCCGUUUGAUUCUCUGGGAGCUCUUUGAACUGAACCAACUUGGCUAAUGACUUUCAGUCAGAAAUAACUAACUUUCAUCAGAGUCAAAUACACCUUAAGUACUUACUCUAAAUUUUCUCCCUCUCUAUUUGCAUAGAAGCCUGGUGGCUGUAGUGGUCAAGAGCUUGGCUACUAACCCAAAGGUUGGAAGUUCAAAUUCACUAGCCACUCCUAGGGCAGCUCUACUCUGUAACACAUGGGAUCACCAUGAGUCAGAACUGACUCCAGGGCAACAAGUUUGUUUUUCUGUUUGCUUGUGUUUUACUUGCAUGUGUCCUAUACCAACGAGUGAGAAACACGAUUAUAAAAUGAGAUAGUCUAACCUCUGUAAUGACCACUCCCUUUUCUUUACUCCUUUGUUUCAAGCAGCUCCCUAUCUGGUAACUGGUUGGAGCCAGCAUUUACCAAUGCUACAUUUUCCGCCCCUGGAGGGUUACUGGCAGGCAUCUGAGCCACUUUAGUACAUACUAGCAUAGUGGCGGAUACUGACACAACUGCCUAAAAACUAAGGAAGUUGAUCUGAGCCACACCGGAGUGUUGAGAGCCAUCCGUAUGAGGGGAUGCUUCCCAGAGGGGUGAUUGUGUGAAACUUUUCUGUCUUUUAGGCUUGUAAGUAUGUUUACUAUUUCCUUUGUGUUAUUGGGAAGACAGUCACUGGGAUUCAGAAAUAGUCAAGUAAAUGAGUUAUUUUUGGGAUGAAAGCAGUUUGUGAUGCACUUUCUUGGCCAUGGUACCAAUAUGUACAGCAUGUGUGAUAUGCUUCAUGGAACAUGGGACUGAUGGCCUACUUGCAUUAGUCACCUCCCUGAUGGGACACUUUAUAAAGUGCUCGCUGGAAAGUCAAGUAAGGUAUUUUAUGGCUCAAGUGUAACCAGGAGGUGUGAUGCCUUUGUCUGUGAUGUACUUCCUGGAACAUUGUACCGAUAUGGACCACUAGCAAUUGGCACCCUAUUUUUUCAAAUAACAAAAAACUACCAACAAACAAUGAUUCAGCAGCCAUUCCAUUAGUGAGUAAACACAGCACUACCAAAAAAAUUACAAAAAAAAAAAAAAAAAAUUCACCCAUGAUAGCAUUUUAAAAGGAUUUCUCUGAAAUAGAAUAUCUAAAUACAUUGAUGAGUUUCAAUAAAAUCCAUUUAUACUGAAGGUAAAAAUGAUUUCUGUGGCCCCUCUAACUUGUCACCUCAUUCAUUUUUGGACAGUGACUUUGAACAGAGUCACAAGAAAGGAGUUGUUGCUGGCUGUCACUGAGUCAGUGCUGGACUCACUGCCUCCUCAAGAACAAUGGAACCAAAUGCUGCCUGCUUUUGGAUCAGACCGUUACGAUCCACAGGGUUUUCACUGACCAACUUUCAGAGUUGAGCACCGUGUCUUUCUUCCUAGUUCCUCUUAGUCUGGAAACUCUGCCGAAGCCUGUUCAGCGUCAUAGCAACAUGCAAUGUCUCCACUGACGGAUAGGUAGUGGCUACACCUGAGAUGCACUGGCUUGUUGGGAAUGGAAUCCGGGUCUUCCACAAGGAAGGCAAGAGUCCUAUCACUGUACCACCACUGCCUCGAGAAAGCGCUGUAUAUUAUCAUUGUUGCUGUUAUUAUUAUCAUUAUUUUGAGAAGUAGUUAAAUGGCUCUCCAGUCAACCUGUCUGGAUUUGAUCCCAGUUGCAUCAUUUACUGUUCAAGUCAUGGUGGAAUCCCUGGAUGCCACAAACAGUUAAGGCAUUCAGAAGCAAAUGGGAAGGUUGGAAGUUCGAGCCUACCUGGAGGUGCCUUGGAAGAAAGUCCUGGAGAUCUACUUUAGAAAAAUCAGCCAUUGAAAACCCUCUGGUGCACAGUUCUAUUCUGACGCACAUGAGGUCGCCAUGAGUUGGAGUUCAACUCAGUGGCAAUUGCUUUUGGAUGUUGGACAAAUUACCUAAUAAAUCUGUUAUUUGAUAACUGCUAACUCAACACGGUUGUCCCUCCUGUAAGCUUUUCAGCUUCUACUAUCCCUUUCCUACUUGCACACAUCAUUCUUUGACUACACAAUCCCUAUUUGUCUUAGUCUUCAGCUCCGACUUAUCUUUAGACCAUCUCAGGGUGAAAGACCCUCCCAGCAGAGUCACAACUUCUAUGGGGCCCACACUGUGCUUACUUCUUUGCUAGCACGUAUAACAAUGAGUUGUUAUCCACUGUUGACUUUUCUGUUAUCCUGAGUAGAGUGUGACCCUCAGGGAAGAGACCAUGCCCUAUAUUUUUUUCUAUCUGCUGGUAUCUAGUGUCUUACACAGAGUACAGCACAGAGAAGCUGAAUUUAAAUGAAUGAACGAAAGUGAAUGGAUGAAUUAUACAUUUUUCUUUAAACACAAAUAAUGCAAUUUCAAAAGUGUCUGAGGCAAAAUACUUCUAAAACUGCACAUAUGCCAUGUGUUAAGUAUCUUAUCCUGAUAAGUACAGGCAAUCCCUGGGUUACAAAAGUCUGAUUUAUGUGCCAUCAUACAAACACUAGUUACAGACCAACCCUCGUAAAGCUUAUUAUAUUAAAACAGUAUUAUUACAGUUAUUACAGUACUAUCACAUUAAAGACAUUUUUGUGGGCCUGGAGGUGUUUCUUUAACGUUUUUUAUACAUACGAAAGUACACUAUAUGCUGAGACAAACAUUUGACUAAUGUUAGAUAUGAACCUUAUUUAACUGUUCUGAUUUAUGUACAAAUUCGACUUAAAGACAGAUUUAGGAAUGGAACGCCUUCAUAAUCCAGGGUCUGUCUGUAAUGUGGUAAUUUAUUGAAUUUGCCAUAGCUUUAAAAAAGAAGUUGUAAGGGUUUGGAAUUCCGAUUGAAGAAUUUGUGACAUUUUUCUAGCCUUUUUCAUUCAUAAGGAACCCUGAUGGCACAGUGGUUAAAGUGCUUGGCUACUAACCAAAAGGUCGACAGUUCAAACCCAGCUGCUCCGAGGGGAAAGAUGUGACUCUUCCUACAGGGUCGCUAUGACUUGGUGGCAGUGGGUUUCUUAUCCAUAGGCAGUGUCAUCAGAUAAUUAUAAUUAACAUUUUCCCGUGAAUGGCAACCUGUGCAUUUAAUUAGAGGCAGAUAUUUUAUGAAGUUAAAGAAGAUUCUGGGCCCCUGGGAGGGCCCUAGCAAUGAGUUUACGUGGUCAUAUGUUUGAGCAUAUUUUUUCAAAAGGGACAUGAGUGCAUGGGUUAAGGCCUCUGCCUUCUUUCCUUCUACAUCUUUACAUUAUGCCCCUGCUGUCAGGUGGUGUUGGAAGGCUGUAGGAACUUUUGAGAUCUGGCGAAGGGUAAGUUCAGUAGGAAAUAUGCCAUUUUGACAGCAAUUUGGAAAGCCAGUUUGGACUAUUUCAAUAAAGUCAGAAAUUCCAGGCUUCUCGUUCUGUGAACAAAAAGAAAGGGCACCCUUUCUAGUCAUCUUUAAAUCUAUUUACUAGAGAACUAAGGGAAAAGUUGAGAUAAAAAUUAGUGGAAUAUAAAACAAAACCAACAAAUAUGAGCAAUGACAUCAAUAAAAAUUAUUCUCAUAUUGAGAUGCAAGUUGUACAAAAAUUUCAGUUCAUACUGAAAGCAGCAUUUUCUAAAAGGAAGAGAUAAAUUCUAAUAAGAGGAAUGAAUAAUAAUAUAUAAUUAGUAAUUUGCAAUAAAACAUAAAAUACUCUGAUGUCUUUACAGCUUAUGUGUGAAAGAAGUUGAUAGACUAUCCCAAAUUUGAUAAGGAGCCUAGAAGUCCACACGUUUUUAUCAGCAAGGAGUUGUGAAGUUGAAACAAGCUUUUCUAAGCAAUGACCAGGAAAAAAACAAGUUUUGAUCAUAUAUGUGAGAGGGAAGACUGAAUUUUCUAUUAUCUCUAUAGAAAAUUAUGUUAAAAAAUCAUUGACAUAAAGGGACAAAGACUACGUAACUUAAACAUGUAGGAAAGUAGUGUUAGAUAGGUCAGCCAGUUAAUUAAUCAAAUAUUCUGUGAUUCCUUUGGAAAUUCAAUGUUUGUGGUAUUUGUUAAGUUUAUAGCACUUAUUGUUUGUUUUGAUUUCUCUGCUAUUUCCUCAUAAACAUUGAUUUGUGUGUUUAUAUGUUCCUUGUUCAUAAAGUGGGACCCAUAAACUUCAUACCUGUUGCCAUCAAGUCAAUUCAGACUCACGGUGGCCGUAUUGGACAGAGAAGAACUGCCCCCUCAGGUUUCCAAGGAGCAGAUGGUGGAUUUGAACUGCUGACCGUUUGGUUAGCAACCAAACAUUUAACCACUCUGCUACUACCAAAGCUCCACCUAACCUGCAUGGGCAUUAAAAAAAUAAUAUAAAAACCCAUUGGCAUCAACUCAUA